rnacentral:lncRNA from 1 species
UUGUUUUUUUUUAUCUUUUUAAAAUUGCAUUUUAAGGGGAGGUAACUCUAAAAAAGUGCAUUUUCUGAAGGAUUCUGUAUGGAAUUUUCCUAUUUUGUAUUUUAGCCGGAAAAAACGUACGGUGACCCUAUCUUUUCUUUUGAUAUUCUCAAAGCAUUGUCUGAAAGCUAUCUUUUCCUGAAGUAUUUAACAAUUCUAUCAUUUUGUUUAGUUUCUAAUCACAAAAUGGUGUUUUUUCCUGUAUAAUCCAUACAAAAUGUGUCAUUUUGUCCCGUCCUGUAGCUUGAGAAAAUGCGCGGUGACCUAUCAUUUUUAUUUAUAUUUUUCAACAUGUAUCAAUAGAUACAACGUUUUGGCAAAGUAUGAACAAAUUCUAUCAUUUUUAUUUUAGACUCCCAUACCACCUUAAA